AAGGGAAGUGUGAAGAUUCGCCCGGCGUGUUUGCUUUGUCAUCUCCCGUUCUCUUCGUUAAUGAACUUCUCUUGUUUUCCCUCUUUAGCAACCCCCGAUACAGUGACACUAGAGCGUCCCAUCCCUGGGAGCGAUGGUGACGUCUCCAAUGCCUCGCUAACGUGUACUGCCGUCGCGGUCUAUCCAGUCAGCAAAAUGUCAUGGAAUGUUUCUGGUGUCCUUGAGCAUCAAUGGGAGAACAUAGUCACGCAGGAUAGGAAUUCUCUGCUGUUCAACAUCUCUAGCACUAAGUUCUUCAACUGUUCAGACAAAUCAACGCGACUCAUCACGUGCUCUUUGGGGGGCGUUUCCUCUGACGAGAAGAGUGUCUGUCAGCAGCCCAAAGGUCACUACUUGAAAAAACUAUACUGCCUUCUACUUUUAAUCGCACCAGUCCUGGGGUUGGGCGGAUUUUGCUUGCUGGGAGAAAUGAAAAAGAAAUCCACCAUGACCACGGAUGCCGGAGUCGUCGCCGAGUUCAGGGUAGGCCUACCGCAAGGGAUCCUAUGGGGGUUAGGACCAUCGCAAGUUGGACCUCUGGUGCCCUCCUAGGUCCUUUGCGGCAGAGACAUUGUGUGGGGUUUGUUUGUCUAUGGGUGUGUUAGCGUUAAUGUGGUACUGAGUAAUUGUUCCCGACACCGUCACCGAGACGUUUAUGUCUAUUAGGUAUAUUGAAUGUGUGGCGUCGUGUGCGUGAUCAUUCAAGGCAACUCUGAAGAACAGGUGCAUUACGGUAUCAUUUUAUAUUAUUGUUAAUAGUCUAACAUUUCAGUAGCGUUUUUUUUCAUUUGCUUGUUUAGCUAUGUGUGACAGUUAACAAUGUUGGUGGAUUGCAAUUCAAUUAAUUAUGUGUGUAGGCCACUCCAACUUCGUUGCUGAUUGAUAUUUAACCAUUUAUUUGUACAUAAGUUAUUGAUUGCAUUUUUCGUAAAUAGUUAGUUGGAAGGACUCUGUUUCUUAAGCAAUAACAUUGAACUGUAUUUUUUGUAGGCCUACAUACAUUUACUAUGUUGUUGGUGUUAUAUUGUAUUGUUAUUAGGGCUGUCAGUUGAACGCGUUAUUAACGGCGUUAACGCAAACCAAUUUUAACGGCGUUAAAAAAUUAUCGCGCUAUUAACGCAAUUAUUAUUUUUUUUAAUUAUUUUUUUUUGGGCUCAAAACAAAGAAGCAGUAGCCUGACUGCUAUGUUCAAAUUAAAUUUGUUCAAAGCAGUCGUUUAAUUGCACUAUAGGCUCUUUUUUUGUAUCGUCCUGUUUUGAUCAGUAUAUGCCAAUGUUGUUAUCAAUACCAAAUCAUUUGCACAAGGCAAGCCGAUGCACUUCACCAUGUUGAUAAGAGAAUUAAAAUGAAAAUAAUUAUGGGACAAAGAAAUCAAGGGAUAUUUAGCAUAGAAAAAUAAUUUGCGAUUAAUCGUGAGUUAACUAUGACAUUAAUGCGAUUAAUCACGAUUAAAUAUUUUAAUCGCUUGACAGCUCUAAUUGUUAUAUUAUAUUGUUUGUGUUAUAUGGAGCAAUCUUUCAUAUUUAUAAAGUUCGAAGAUCAAUAAAGUUAUAGGCCUAUCUAUUUUUAUUUGAACUGCCUGUAUGUCCUCUUGAUUAUAGUAUUACAGGGUGUACCUUGGUUAUCAGCUAUCAUCAAAUGGUGUCCAAAUGGCUG